rnacentral:lncRNA from 1 species
AGAAAUUGGACCUGACUAAUAAUGGUUUUGAUGUUGUCCUUACUCCUCCACGACAAAUCUCUGAUCUCGCAGCAAACCACUCUUCCACCACCGUGAUCGGAAACGAAUCCCCCACUCUCUCCGUCGUCGUCGAUUGUCGAUUUUUCUUGGACAACCACCGAUAGCUUUAAUUACUUCGAACGAUUCUAAACGAAGGAGCGAGCAUCAUCUUCCGUCACUAACACUCGUAUCUGGUCUGGUUGGCGAGGAUUUUGCGAAGAGCAACAAAUCAAGCAAAUAAGUUGGAGAAUAAAUAUGAAACGAAGAGGAGAAAUCGUAAAAUCAGAGAAAAUUGGGUAAGAAAUUGCAUCUUUCUCACUCUCUAAAACUCUCUGUGUUUCUUUGGUUUUUGAUACUAAAAACGAUUACACCGAGAAAGAGAGGAAAGCUGGAGACGACUGUAUUUAUAGACUCAUCUUCGGAUUCAAAGAUUUCCCAUUUUCUUUUUUACUCUUUCUCUGUUAUUUCCUUUUUCUUUGUGUUGUUUCCUUUUUCUUAACUCUUAAUGUGUUUAUUAUUUCCUUUUUUUCACUUAGCACUGAUUGUUUUCCUUUUUUGACAAUUUGUAGAAAACUCUAUGCUUGCAAUCUCUAUCUAUUAUUAUUACAAAAAGCAAGAUCAAUGUUCUUGGUUAGGAUUUGAUUUUAUUUGGCAAAUUGCUUAAACCAUUGAUUGCUUCUGAUUAUCUAUGAGAAUGUGUGUGUAAUUGAAUGAA